rnacentral:rRNA from 1 species
AACGUAGGACGCAAGCGUUAUCCGGAGUUACUGGGCGUAAAGCGCGGGCAGGCGGUCGGUCAAGUCUGAUGUGAAAUCUUUCCGCUCAACGGGGAGCAGCCAUUGGAAACUGGGCGACUGGAGUCUGACAGAGGUAGGCGGAAUUCCGGGUGGAGUGGUGAAAUGCGUAGAGAUCCGGAGGAACACCAGAGGCGAAGGCGGCCUACUGGGUCAGUACUGACGCUGAGCCGCGAAAGCCAGGGGAGCGAACGGG